GUGCCCUGCCAGCGGCCCUCGACAUGACGAAGUUACAGUUUCUAAAUGUAUAUUUGACCGAACAGUUGAUGUCAGCUGCCCAAUAGAUAUGAGACCAUAUUAAAAUACAAUUAUUAAAAUACAAGGAGGAAAUACUGUAAUACAGGGAAAGAGCGACUGAUCAACUGAGACGCAAACUGCACAGAAAUGGGAUUCCAUUGCCAGCCCGAGAGUCCUCUGCUCUUAUAGAACGUGAGGAGGGAGCCAUUGGGUUGAAGCAGGAACCAGAACCCAGGCAAACUAUGGAGAAACAGGAGGGAAGGACCAGGAAGGAGGAAAAGAAACUUAGAGGACUAGACUCUGUCUAGAUGUCUCUCCUUACGAUGGAAAUGAUGGCUAUGAUCAGAACACACCUCAUUCAGUCAGUUCCAAACUCACACCGGGGAGAGUAGAGGGAGGCUCUCUGUCCAGCUCAUCAACAUCCAAACCAAUCAAAACAGAGACUGAAGGACUGGGUGUUUGUCCAUUUGAUCCGUCAAGUGACCCCAAUACAUUCUCUUCGUCAGUGAACCUUGACCUUUCGGCAGCACAGAAUGAGAACAGUGUAAGUAUGAUGGGGGUGGAAGGUGGUGAAGGACUACUGUCAGGGUUUGAGGCGCUACAGAUACCACUACACAUGGAACAGUCCCUUCAAAAUCACCACAACACAGCAUUGUGUUGCAAGGUGUGUGGGAAACCCUGUAGACAUAUGGGCCAUUUAAACGCACACAUGCAAAUGCACAUGAAAGAGAAGCCAUUACUCUGCGGGGUUUGUGGUAAGUGCUUUAGCUCACCGGGGAGGUUGAAAGGGCAUUAGCGGAUUCACACAGGGGAGAAGCUCUAUCAGUGCCAUAUCUGUAGGAAACGGUGCAAUCAGACUGCACACCUGAAAGUGCAUCCGAGUGUCCACACAGGAGAAAAACCGUUCAGUUGUCCUGUGUGUGGCAAGUGCUUCAGCCACUCCGCCAAAAUUAAACGUCACCUCCAGACCCACAGCCGUGAAGGCACCUAGGCUUGUGAUUUUUUUUCUCUUUCUCUCAAAGAGCUAGGGAUUCUGCGACUUUCUUCAAGGAAUGUUCUCUGAGUAACGCUUCUCCAUGCCAUAGUCUCUCUCUCUCAUGCAAUAGGUUUUGUAUUGCAUUAUAGUCAAUUUAGUGUGUUUCUUUUUGUACAUGUCACUGAAUGGAGUUUUUGUGAAUCUUUAAAAACACAACAUUUUACGAGUUAGUUGCUAGUCUUUCUGAAUUAUACUGAACAAAAAUAUGGUGUGGCAUAUCAAGAAGCUUUUUAAAUAGCAAGGUUCAUUAGACAGGUGCACCUUGUGCUGGGGACAAUAAAAGGCCUCUGUAAAAUGGGCAGUUUUGUCACACAACACAGUGCUUACAGAUGUCUCAUGUUUUGAGGGAGUGUGCAGUUGACAUGCUGACUGAAGGAAUGUCCACCAGAGCUGUUGCCAGAAAAUGUUAUGUUAAUUUCUCUACCAUAAGCUGCCUCCAAUGUUGUUUUAGAGAAUUUGGCAGUACAUCCAACUGGCUGUUUA
ensembl:lncRNA